GCUGUUGUAGCUCAGCAGGCAGAGCACUUCCUUGGUAAGGAAGAGGUCGACAGUUCGAAUCUGUUCAACAGCU
rfam:Butyricicoccus pullicaecorum 1.2 genomic scaffold acBRa-supercont1.1, whole genome shotgun sequence.